CUUUAGGUGACACUAAGCCGGUAUGGAGAGUGUUUUAUAAAUUGCCACUUAGAAAUAGAGCAGGUGAUUUACAGUGGAAAAGUUUACAUGGAGCUGUGGGGGUCAAUGUUUUAAUCUCUAAGAUGUCCAACAAGCAGUUGAUGCAGUAUCAUGACCUUCCCAUCAUAUGACUGGUACACAGCACGAAAGCUCCACAUGGGACGCUCUUGGAUAAGGCAAGGUUGACCCUACAAUGGUUACAGCAGAAAAUGGUGAAGGUUAUGGUGCGGCCAUCACAGUCUCCUGACCUAAAUAUCAUUGAGCCUUUUUGGAGGAUCUCAAACGUGCAGUUUGUGCAAGACAGACCAAAAGAUUUACAGGAACUGGAGCCAUUUUGCCAAGAGGAAUGGCCAGCUAUACUACCUGAGAGAAUUAUGGACCUCAAUUAUUACAAAAGACUGCAUGCCAUCAUUAAUGCUAAAAAGGGCAAUACACAAUAUUAAGAACUAAAUGUAUGCAAACUUUUGAACAUUGAUUAUUUUCUUAUUUUCUUUUUGGUUAUGUUUUGUUUGAUGACUGUGCCAUUUUGUUAUGUCUUACAU